rnacentral:lncRNA from 1 species
UGGUUUUCCUCAUGACCGCGGUUCCUCAUUCCCUAUUGUUUAGCUUGUUCCACCUCCACCAUAGGUGCCUAUCGUCCCUUUAUGUGCCAAGUUCUUCGUUCCGUGUAUCCUAAAUUUAUAUACAGUUGGGAAAAGAAAAAAAAUCAACAAAUUAAAUAAAAAACAAAAUAAUUACUACUGUCAGCACAUAAAUUAACUGUUGUCUUACUCCUACUUAGUUUAGCAUCGGUCAUUUGACCUCAUAAUGCUACAUGUUCACCUAGGUGUGUCUAUCGGCAUGACAAAAAAACUUCAGAAGUUGGAACCUUGGAUAAAGCAUACAAAUAGUUCUGGAAAAAAAAAAGAUCAUGAUAAUCUGAAAUUUUUAUAUUUUGGUCCUUUUUGAAAACUUAUUUUACAAAUAAACUCCUGGGAAAACUUAAACCGGGAAUGGUCCUUUUUGGGCACCAGAGAGGCUGGCACCGUCCUCCAACAUGGCGGCGCCAGCCACACUGGCGCCGUGCCCGUGCCACCGUGGCACUUGGGCUGUCGUGGCGGUGCUGACUGGGCAGAAGGGGGGCGCCAGCCACACCGGCGCCGCCCCUCAUACCAUGGCGCCAGCAUGGCUGGCGCGCCCCUCCUCUGUUGGCCGCGCCCUUAAACCCCGUGGGCCUCACCACCUUUCUCCUCCCCACUCCCAUUUUCACCCAAGCAGCAGCCCGAGCAGCAGCGCAGCAGCUCUUCCUCUCUCUCCCCCUCACGUCUCCACCUCAAAUCCACUCAAUUUGAAGCCGUUUUUCGCGGGAUUUUUUGUGGAAAUCGAAGAGAAAGGUAGACUCCUCCAUUCCCCCCUCUUUUUUUUCGUUUUUAUUGGUUGAAUUUGUAGAUCGGAGGGUAACCCUAGAACCCCCCUUUUGCCCAAAUUUGUGAUUUUUAGCAUUUGUUCUUGAGAUUGGCUUGUUGUAGUGCUACAUAUUUGCAAUGUACUCAUUGGUGUCACGAUUUUUUUAACCAUAUAUGUGGUAAUGUUAAUUUUUGGAUGGUUUGGUUGGAUGGAUGGAUGAAAAAUUAGGGUUGAGGCAUGAAAGUAAUUUUAAUUUGAUGGACUUGAUGCUAUAGCCUAUAGGUUAAACUUUUAACCAUUAAUUAUAUGAAGGGGAGAAAAUUUUGGUUGCAUUAUAGAAAUUGAUUAUAGUUAAUUAGAACUAGGUUGGGUUGUAUGACGGAGUAUUUAUAAUAUUUCGAUGUGUAAUGCACUAGUAAACUUGUUUAUAGUUGUAGGUGGAUUAAAUAUUUUUUUUAGAGUAGUAGCUUUGGGACAAUUUAAGUUAUGGAUUGGUUAUAAUAUGUCGGUUUGGACUACGUUUAGGAAUGAAGAUUUAAUUUUUGUUGCAAAGUUACAUUUGAUUUUUUGGUGUAGAUGGAUAGACUUGUUCGUGUUUACUACAGUGGUAGAGUGGUGGAAUCUUAUGUUGGUGCACAUAUUGAGUUUGAGGAUAUGUCAUUAAGACCAUUUUGUUUCCCACCCACCCAGCUCUAGAUGAACUAAGGUCACGAGUGAAAGAAGUUCUUGGAUGGACCGAGGAUAAUGUGGAGAUUCGUUUUUAUGGGAGAUACAAUGUUGGUCAAGGGCAUAAGUAUAUAUUAAAUGUGAUAGGUCAGUUGGAAUGGGAAGUUUACUUUGAUUUGGUAAAAGAGUCUUCAGUUUAGAUCUCUAGUGGUGUUUGCAUCAAAGUUGGUAAGUACCGUAGAAAAUUUGGAUCUAAACAAAUCUCCUUAUCAUUACGUUGAGAAGAAUUUUGUGACAUAUUCUUCUCGUCAUGGAGGGGAUGCAAGUAAGACUGAGUUGGUACGAGAAGACUUGGAGGGGGAAGGAGAGAAGAAGAGACCUUUGCUUGGAAAUGAUUUAGGGGAGGCAGGACCAUCAAAGAGACAUUGCGGUAGUGAUGAUGUGCAUGCAGUGAGGGAGAUGAAAAGGGAGUUAGUACAAGAGGGGCUUGAUCUAAGUGAACAUUUGUCGGAGAGUGUGCAUUGGUUGUCGUACGGAGGCAACCCUGAAUACCCGACGGAAGUAGCAGGCCAAUAUGUGAAUCCAGAUGAUUACUUUGUUGUCGAAUUGAGUGGUGGUCACGAUUCUGUCUCAGUAGAAGUCAAUAGAGAGGAGGUUGACAAGGAGGCAAGUGUUGAGCAAUAUGAUGUUGAAUUUGCUGAAGACUCUGAUGAUGACUGUCACGCCCGGAAAUUCACUAAUAAUUUCCGAACUAAUUUGUGCAUAAAACCCUCGUCCAGGAAUCAGCCGAGGUACACAAACUGACAAUUUAAUAUACAAAUCCAUCAUAAUAAUAACGUUACAUACUUACAAAAGAAAAGAAAAACAACAGCAGCGGAAAUAACGGUCUAGCGAUGGCUUCAGCUCCACUCCCACAGGCAGCUCAACUGGGGUAUAAGCCAAACGUCUUCUCCUUCUGGAUCCUUUUUCUUCAACUGAGAUUGAUUGAUUAUUGCAAGAAUGAGCAUACGACAUACUCAACAAGCCACACAGCAAAUAUGCAAGUGCACAAGGAUACCAACGGAUGGCAUAAUAUAGGCUCAUUUGCAAAAGCAGCAUUUAGCAAAGAUUUAAGAGAAGUAAAACAGUAGAGUAAUUAAUCAGAAAUUUUAAUUAACACUGAACAGCACACUCAUGCUGCACAGGCCCAACCAUCUUGAACAACCAUACCCGGCUGUACAGACCUAACUCCAAACCAGGAACUACACAAAUUAUUACCAGUUAUAGCAUCAAUAAUUAUUGUGAGAGGUGUGAGACUAAUCACGAAAAACAUUGCUCAACUCGUCCAUAACCACGGGCACGGCUAUUCGAAUAGUUUUACUCUGACCAGAGGUGUACCACUGUACCCACAAGACACAGCCUCAACAUCAUGUCUACCAUGCGUCGCGAUACUGGAAAGUACCCGAAUAGAGGCUGUGACAAUACCCCCUGCACAACACAACUCACCACAGUGCACCAUUCCUGGAUCAUAAUCACCCCCUCAAAAACCAGACGCAUAGACUCCCCAGCGACCCCCACGGACUUCUCGUCGCUUCUCAGUCUGGCACCCCGUAAUGAAUCAUGCUAUACAAAAGGUAAAGCCGUUGCCCACGCUGGCUUGUUGGCACGGUAAAUGUUUCACAAUAGUAGCUCGCGAACCGGUCCUUAAUUGCCAUGAGCACGACCUUCACAACCAUGUGCUCACAACCCACCAUUGACAAGUUUUAAUUCUCAAUUAAUUAACAUUACACGAUUAACCAUCGUGAGCUACCAUUAAAUAUAACCAUAAUUAAUAAUAUAGUAUAAUUCACCCCAUUAAUGAUGCUAAUGUUUCUAAGCAUGGCUAAGCAAUUAUAUAUAUAUAUAUAUAUAGCAUUUAGCUGAACCAAACCAAUAUAUAAGGUCCAAGCUAAUCAAAUUAUAACCCAUAGGAAAAUAAAGUCAUCUUCGGCCAUUAAUUAAUCGGGAAAGGCUCACCACCCGAUGACAUUCGAAAAUAAUGCAUAAGUUGAAAUAAAACAUUAGCUUUAAACAGGUUCAACAUGCUCAAAGGGUUAUUUGGGAUCUGUGUGACUUGCCUUGAUCUUCCGCAAACACUUAUGAACCUUCCUCAACGAAAACGCUCUCCUCCGGAACGUCGGAAACUAAAACGAAAGAACAAAAUCAACAAAACAGUACAAAAACAAGCAAAAACAGUACAUGUGGAUAUUUUUAACAUGUAGAUCUUGAUUUUAGAAAAAUUUAGCAACUUGAACCACUCGAAUCAGAGUUACGAUGAAUUAGUUAUGAAUUUCCGAAGUUUAAUCGAUUUUCAUCUAAUAAAGAAACUAAGAAAAGGGAAUUAUGACGUCAUCGCUGACGUCAUCGCCGGCCAUGGCACUGCUCCACGCGACCACCGGCGCUAGAGAGCUCGGUUGGGCUAACCGAGGACACCAACGCGAAGAGGACGACGACGCGAACUCACCGGUGCAAAGAACAACGACGGACGACGACGAACGACGGCCGGCGACGAGGUUCAACGGCGGCUCGACUUGGGUCAACAAUGGCGACGGCGCUCCGGCG